rnacentral:rRNA from 1 species
AUUGAACGCUGGCGGCAUGCUUUACACAUGCAAGUCGAACGGCAGCGCGGGGCAACCUGGCGGCGAGUGGCGAACGGGUGAGUAAUAUAUCGGAACGUACCCAGAAGUGGGGGAUAACGUAGCGAAAGUUACGCUAAUACCGCAUACGAUCUACGGAUGAAAGUGGGGGACCUUCGGGCCUCAUGCUUUUGGAGCGGCCGAUAUCUGAUUAGCUAGUUGGUGAGGUAAAGGCUCACCAAGGCGACGAUCAGUAGCUGGUCUGAGAGGACGACCAGCCACACUGGGACUGAGACACGGCCCAGACUCCUACGGGAGGCAGCAGUGGGGAAUUUUGGACAAUGGGGGGCAACCCUGAUCCAGCAAUGCCGCGUGAGUGAAGAAGGCCUUCGGGUUG